UACGUAGGGUGCGAGCGUUAAUCGGAAUGACUGGGCGUAAAGGGUGCGUAGGCGGUUUGCUAAGACGGAUGUGAAAUCCCUGGGCUCAACCUAGGAACAGCAUACGUGACUGGCAGGCUAGAGUAUCGAAGAGGGGGGUAGAAUUCCACGUGUAGCAGUGAAAUGCGUAGAGAUGUGGAGGAAUACCGAUGGCGAAGGCAGCCCCCUGGGAUAACACUGACGCUCAUGCACGAAAGCGUGGGGAGCAAACAGG
rnacentral:rRNA from 1 species